GAUAAAAGUAUAAUAACAAAUCAGCUUCCACUCAUGUAAGCCGAUAGGUAUCUCUCUGCCAAGAAGAAUCUUGCUUUAUGACUUGUGAAUUGAAAUUUGUAUCCUCUCUAAGCACUAUUCUAUCCAAAGGUGCAGGGAGUGGUGCUAACCAAAGCAGUCUCUCCUGGCAUGAGGAGGUGAUAGAUCACACUCUUAAUCACUUGCUGCAGAUUAAGCUCUCCCUUUCUGUUGCCCUUUUGGCCUGCAGCUGCUGACAACGACAUGAGAAAUUGGCUGAAGUGCUCGAUGAAGCAGUCAAGCUGGGACUGUGUAUCCAUCUCUUACAUGAGGCUCUUUGCCUAAAGCAUCUAUCACCUCUGUCCAGCUUCUGGAAACUCCUGGGAUAGGAGAGCAAACCAGUCAAGAUCAUGAUGUAUUAAAUGAAGCAUGUAUAAAACCUGGAUGCAGAGACCUCUAUUCAUGUCCAACGCCUUUCCUGGGAAUGGCAGCAGGGGCACUUUAAUAGCAGGAGCUGCAAUCAGGUCUCAGGAUUCAGCAGUUGACCUCUUGCCCAUUUGUCUUUUGCAACAUCCAAGUUUCUCAUGGUCAGCUGAGCCCCAUGGACAACAACUCUGCCGACGUGUACCUGGCAACUGUGGGGAGUCACAAAGGCUCUGUGGUGAGACAGCUUGCUUACUGCAUGUGCCAGGAGAAGCAGCCAUGAUUCCUGACAUCUUGCACUGGGAGGAGUAAGAGGCCAGCUCCCCAGAGCUGGAAUGGGAGGAAGGACAUUGCCAAAGAGUGGCUUUUUCCCUGCUGGGAAGGAAAUUCCAACCAUUUUUUAUGGUGAGUUGAUUUUUGCACUUCACAAAACGUGACCAUCUUAUCAAGACUAGUAACCUGCAGUUAAUGCACCUACUUGUGUGUUCAAGAGAAUAAAUUCACUCAAGUCAGAAUUUUGACUGUAAAC
rnacentral:lncRNA from 1 species